UACAGAGGUCCCAAGCGUUGUUCGGAUUCACUGGGCGUAAAGGGCGCGUAGGUGGCAGGGUAAGUUUGAUGUGAAAUCUCCGGGCUUAACCCGGAAACUGCAUUGAAUACUAUUCUGCUCGAGGGUUGGAAGGGGGACUGGAAUACUUGGUGUAGCAGUGAAAUGCGUAGAUAUCAAGUGGAACACCAGUGGCGAAGGCGAGUCCCUGGACAACUCCUGACACUGAGGCACGAAAGCUAGGGGAGCAAACAGG
rnacentral:rRNA from 1 species